AUACGGAGGGUGCAAGCGUUACUCGGAAUCACUGGGCGUAAAGCGCGCGUAGGCGGCUUAUUAAGUCAGAUGUGAAGUCCCCGGGCUCAACCUGGGAACUGCAUCUGAUACUGGUAAGCUAGAGUUUGGGAGAGGGAAGUAGAAUUUCAGGUGUAGCGGUGAAAUGCAUAGAGAUCUGAAGGAAUACCAGUGGCGAAGGCGACUUCCUGGCCUAAAACUGACGCUGAGGUGCGAAAGCGUGGGUAGCAAACGGGAUUAGAAACCCCAGUAGUCC
rnacentral:rRNA from 1 species